rnacentral:rRNA from 1 species
ACUCCGGUUGAUCCUGCCGGACCCGACUGCUAUCGGAUUGGGAUUUAGCCAUGUUAGUUGUGCGUUCCUUGGCUACAGGGGACGCAGCAUACGGCUCAGUAACACGUAGUCAACCUGCCCUGGAGACGCGGACAAACCCGGGAAACUGGGGCCUAUCCGCGAUAGAUGACCUCAUCUGGAAGGAGAGGUCGUCCAAAAGGCGGCACGGGUAUGCUCCGUGCUUUUCGCUCCAGGAUGGGACUGCGGCCGAUCAGGCUGUUGGCGGGGUAAUGGCCCACCAAACCUGUAACCGGUACGGGCUUUGAGAGAAGGAGCCCGGAGAUGGACACUGAGACAAGGGUCCAGGCCCUACGGGGCGCAUCAGGCGCGAAAACUUCGCAAUGCGCGAAAGCGUGACGAGGCUAGUCCGAGUGCUUCCUGCUAAAGGGGGCUUUUCUCGGCUGUAAAUAGGCCGGGGAAUAAGGGGAGG